GCUGAAGUUGCCUACCUUCCUUCAUCUUGUUCAUCCAUUCAUACGAACGCCGUGCCGUUCGGUACAUUACUAUGCAAACAGAGCCACCCCAGAUAGUCUUUUCGUCAUUCGAAUGGGCGCCAUGGGAUAACUAUGUGAAAGACUUUGGCUCCGUGGUGAUUGAACUGUGUGUAUAGUAUCUGAGCGCUGUUCGGUGGUAUUGUCCACUCAGAUGUAAGCUAUCUGGGGAUACGUGGGGAUUCUGUUCGGUAGUUUUGGAAUUAUGUAUUUUUAUGCAUUUUUAUUAUCCUUGUAAAACGGUGGUUAUGCU